GAGGCUCUGUGUUUUGAAAUAGAGGAGUGAUUUUGCAGCAAUAGGACUGCAUGGUCUCACUGUACAGCCCAGCUUGAGAUGCUGAAGGGUGUUGCAGCCCUCAGUGUCCUUAUCAAAACGAGCCUACGGGGGAAGAACUGCUUUCCGACCAGGUUAGAGCUGGCCAGGCUUUCUGCAUUCGUCAAGGUGUGACAGUACACUGAAGUUGCAGUGAUGCUGUGCUCUCAGUCUGGAAUGAGGGUUCAUUGCCUAAUGUUAUGAUUCAGGGUCAAACGUUUCCGGUGUCAAGCUAAUUAUAGGAUGGGAUCAUUAAGGACGUGCCUAAUUAGGGGGGAAAAAACAACCCUGAGGUGUAUGAGUGCUCACAUUGGUGUCCAGAGACAGCAGGUGAUAGGUGAUCAUGAAAAAUCCGAUGCUAAAGCUAACCAUCCCAAGCUUCUCUUUCAGCUUGAUUUUAAUCUCUCUUAUUUGAAUGACUGCCUUGAAAAAGAAGGCCAUUCUCAUGCUGAGGACGUCCCACCAUGCCCUGAGCUGUCCCAUCUCACAGGAUGCUGCACUCUGUGACUGCAGGCAGACUGCAGACAAGCACUGAUGAAACCACUCAUUGUUUUUGCUGUAUGCUCAGAUGGUGCCUAUCCUAUGAAGAAAACCCUAACCUUCGAGUUUCUCUAUGAAAGUCCCCUUCUAAUUUAACCCUGACAUCAGUUACUGCUGCUGCUGCUGCUCCAGCAAAUAUUUCUUGGCUUCAGGAUCAACUGUUCAAUGGGAGCCGUUGGUUUCAGAGGAGAGUACAGUAAGUGAGUUGGUGACAGCAACAAUAACUUAUGUUUAUGCACUGCCUUUCACUCAAAGAUAGCCAUAACCUGAUAAGCAGUAAUGGCAGCGUGAGGGAAGGAAGAAUAGCUGGGAAACCAUAAGAAUGAUAGAGCAUGCAGCAAAACCCUCCAUUGCUGUGAGGACACCUAGGAUUAAAGGAUCUCCACGCAUUUUCAAUUAACUGAGUGCUACAUAGCCCGUGGCUUCAGUAAACAUCCUCCUUGUUUACAUCAUGGGAAACUGAAGCAUGCAGAGGUUCGGCUGCCAACAAUUGCACAAUCAUUGCUCAGCAGCUGAGCUAGUAAUAGCACCUGGAGCACCCGACUGCCUGUCCCAUGACCUGUCCUUAAGAUAAUGCUUCUGAGAAUAGAGCUGCCAGAGGUGUUGGGCACAAUGAUAUCGUUCAGGAUGGACUGUGGCCAAAGCAGA
ensembl:lncRNA